AGCUCAUCGAGCUGGUUUCUGAGGAACCGGUGCCGAGUCGCCUCAGCUUCCGAAUAGCAUCCACACACCUCCUCUCAUCACGCUUCAGAAUAGCAUCCACACAGCUCCUUUCAUCGCUUAUCUGUUGGAGGAGAAUCAUGUCCAACUUGCUUUGCUUCUCCUACUUUUGAAGGCCAUAUCAUCACCCUCGACCUGGACCUGGCCUAGCUUAUCAAAUAUGCGGCGGAGUGAGGCCACGAUCCGAUGAAGAUGCAUGACGCAUGUACACACACUGCGGCGCCGGUACGCGCAGCGAAGGAUAUAGAUUCUAGGAUAGACAUAAGCUUGUCAUGUGCAUAUCUGCCUUGAUAGUUGUCACCUGGAAAGAAAAUGGGAAUAAUCACAAUGACAGAGAAAAAGCCAUAGUGCUCUGUAGAGCAAUCUCUAGAGCUCAGGAUUUUUUGUGAUU